UCUCUCUCUCUCUCUCUCCUUCCUGAGCCCUCGACUCGACGCAGCGAGCAAGCUUCUUCUCAGUUUCCUGCAGCCCAAUGUCUGGUCGAGAAGGUUCGCCAAGAUCGCCGCUGAGUUCUUCCGGCGGCACAGAUCGGGUCCUCCACGUAAAACUCGUUGCUUCUUGACUUGGAUCUUCUCUUCGAUGCGUUUGGCCCGCGGGAGUUAAUCUCGGUGGACAACUUAUUCGAGUCCCAUCAAAACGCCUUCUUGCCUACCUUCGAAUCACACCGGCUGCAUCCCUUUCUCCGCCUCCUUGUUCUAUACAAGUGCGGUGACAUUUAUUUCCACACCGAUGCUUUAAUCGUCUCAGGAACCCCACUGGAGCUCAGUCUGGGGAGGCUGAGACAGAGAACUGGAUUUGGCAGAACAAUGCAAUGACGGCAUUCGACAGGAGUUAUCCCCUCCACAAGUUCAUCGAGGAGUUUGCACUGAUGUCGACGGAAGCAAAUGGGAUCAGAGGGUGAAAGGGAGGUCUGGUUAUAGUUUCAGUGUUCCGCCACCAUCAGCAUCCUUCUGAGUCGCUGGAUCAAGAUAACGAGACUGCUUUUGGGGUUCCAAAACUGGAGCCUUUUAGACUAGAUUUCAACAAAUAUUGAUUAGUUUCCAGUAGAAAUCGGAUUCUAGUAUUUUCUGCAAUUCCUCAAGCAUCUGAUGAUGUUCAACUUUGAGAAGAACAAGCUGAGCUUCGAAACCAACUCAGUCUAUAAAUUGGUCGGAACAUCUAAAAGACAAACAUGUUGCAGAAAUCAACCCCAACCUAGCUCAGAUGUGAUUCUUGAGGAAGGUGAUGACAAGCUGGUUCACUUGAUCAGGGAACUGCUCCUGAACAAAAUGGCUUUCUUCAGGAACCUCAAUUUUUGGAUCGGCAAUGCCUGUUCCCCUAUACAAUGUCCUACCAGAAGCAGAGUGGUAUUGUCAGCACAAUUUUAAAGGAUUUCAUUCAUUCAUUCAUAUGCUAACUUUGGCAGUUCACCUGUAUG